ACUGGAGCUGCUGCCUCUGUCUGCUAAGAUGUGAAGUCCAAGACUGAAAGUAACAUAGCAGAAGGAGAACCAAAAGAGGUGUUGAGUCUUGAUGGUAUUUGUUGAACCAGUCCUGAAUCCAGCUGUGUUGGAGUCAGUGCAGCUUUUAAAGCUGGAGAGCAUCAUAUUUUAGAAAGAUCAAGCAAUGUGGAUGAGGACACAUUAAAAAGAGAAGACCUGGAGGAGGGGACACCACUCAGGGUUAUAACCUCCAGCUCACAUUUCAGCACCAAAGGACCAAAGCCUAGAUCUGAGAUCUUGCACUUGCAAAAAGGAAGAUCACCUGGAAGAACAAAAUAGAAGACUCCUGCUUCCAAUAGGCUUGGGUCAGGAAGAAGGCUGUUGGCAUAAUUGUGGAGUAGGAAGAUGGAAAACAACUCCCAGAGAUCCCAACAGCUGCACGCAUGCUUGGGCAGUGGCUGCAGGUGAAGUUGUGGGAAAGCAAGUCAUGAAGGGCAUUAAUCAAGGAUAUGUUCUAGGAGUAACUGCCUUGCUUUCCCUGGAUGUGUGUGAGAAAGCACAGGCAUCCACUUUCUGACCAACAGGAGACCCAGUCUCGGAUGGAGCAGACACCAUGCAUGGUAGAGCAGAGAGACAGAGAAAACCUAGGUCCUUGAUGAAAUGAUUGGCCACUGGAUCAGCCACAGUUAAAGACUGCCUACCUUUGGACUUCUGGUUAUCUUAGGCUAAAAAUGUCCUUUUUGUUUAAGGCACUUUGAGCCGGGUGUCCUAAGACCUAGCAGUCUCAACCAUCCAAACUAAUAAGCUGAAUUAACUAGAUUUCCUGUCAUGUCCUUCCUGCCUGAUUGGUAGCCCUUGACUCCAAUUUGGCCUCAUUUUCCGUACCUUACUGGCUGCCUUUUCCUCUAAUCAUAGGUCACUUGGAAAUAAAAUAUAGAUUUACUUCAAA
rnacentral:antisense_RNA from 1 species